rnacentral:rRNA from 1 species
AACGAGCGCUGGCGGCGUGGAUAAGACAUGCAAGUCGAACGAGAGAAUUGCUAGCUUGCUAAUAAUUCUCUAGUGGCGCACGGGUGAGUAACACGUGAGUAACCUGCCCCCGAGAGCGGGAUAGCCCUGGGAAACUGGGAUUAAUACCGCAUAGUAUCGAAAGAUUAAAGCAGCAAUGCGCUUGGGGAUGGGCUCGCGGCCUAUUAGUUAGUUGGUGAGGUAACGGCUCACCAAGGCGAUGACGGUAGCCGGUCUGAGAGGAUGUCCGGCCACACUGGAACUGAGACACGGUCCAGACACCUACGGGUGGCAGCAGUCGAGAAUCAUUCACAAUGGGGGAAACCCUGAUGGUGCGACGCCGCGUGGGGGAAUGAAGGUCUUCGGAUUGUAAACCCCUGUCAUGUGGGAGCAAAUUAAAAAGAUAGUACCACAAGAGGAAGAGACGGCUAACUCUGUGCCAGCAGCCGCGGUAAUACAGAGGUCUCAAGCGUUGUUCGGAAUCACUGGGCGUAAAGCGUGCGUAGACUGUUUCGUAAGUCGUGUGUGAAAGGCGCGGGCUCAACCCGCGGACGGCACAUGAUACUGCGAGACUAGAGUAAUGGAGGGGGAACCGGAAUUCUCGGUGUAGCAGUGAAAUGCGUAGAUAUCGAGAGGAACACUCGUGGCGAAGGCGGGUUCCUGGACAUUAACUGACGCUGAGGCACGAAGGCCAGGGGAGCGAAAGGGAUUAGAUACCCCUGUAGUCCUGGCAGUAAACGGUGCAC